UACGAAGGGGGCUAGCGUUGCUCGGAAUCACUGGGCGUAAAGGGCGUGUAGGCGGGAAGGUAAGUCGGGCGUGAAAUCCCUGGGCUCAACCCAGGAGCUGCACUCGAAACUACUUUUCUUGAGUGCCGGAGAGGAAAGCGGAAUUCCUGGUGUAGAGGUGAAAUUCGUAGAUAUCAGGAGGAACACCAGUGGCGAAGGCGGCUUUCUGGACGGUAACUGACGCUGAGACGCGAAAGCGUGGGGAGCAAACAGG
rnacentral:rRNA from 1 species